ensembl:misc_RNA 7SK 7SK RNA
GGAUGAGAGGGCAAUCUGCUGUGACAUCUGUCACCCCAUUGGUUGCCAAGUUAGAUUCAGCUGAUCUGGCUGGCUAGGCCAGUGUUCCCUUCCUCAUUCACCACUCCAUGUAUGUCCCUCCCCAAGCUGUGCACUCAGUCGAAAAGGACAGCCUUCCCCCAAAUAGAGAAGGACCAAUCUUCUUUGGUCAAGGGUAUAGGAGUAGCUGUGCUCCCCUGCUAGAAUCUCCAAACAAGCUCUCAAACUUGGAAGUAAUCCAGAUAUCCAACAGAUGAGUGACUAAGAAAAUUUCUAUAUAUAUAUCAGCUGUUAAAAAUGAUGAAAUCAUCU